UUGACCUCGGAUCAGGUAGGAAUACCCGCUGAACUUAAGCAUAUCAAUAAGCGGAGGAAAAGAAACCAACAGGGAUUGCCCCAGUAACGGCGAGUGAAGCGGCAACAGCUCAAAUUUGAAAUCUGGCCCCUAGGGUCCGAGUUGUAAUUUGUAGAGGAUGCUUUUGGUGAGGUGCCGCCCGAGUUCCCUGGAACGGGACGCCGCAGAGGGUGAGAGCCCCGUCUGGCUGGCCACCGAGCCUCUGUAAAGCUCCUUCGACGAGUCGAGUAGUUUGGGAAUGCUGCUCAAAAUGGGAGGUAUAUGUCUUCUAAAGCUAAAUAUUGGCCAGAGACCGAUAGCGCACAAGUAGAGUGAUCGAAAGAUGAAAAGCACCUUGAAAAGAGGGUUAAACAGUACGUGAAAUUGUUGAAAGGGAAGCGCUUGUGACCAGACUUGGGCGCGGCGAAUCAUCCGGGGUUCUCUCCGGUGCACUUCGCCGUGUUCAGGCCAGCAUCAGUUCGGCGCGGGGGAAAAAGGCUUCGGGAACGUGGCUGCUCCGGCAGUGUUAUAGCCCGUUGCAUAAUACCCUGCGCUGGACUGAGGACCGCGCAUCUGCAAGGA
rnacentral:rRNA from 1 species